GUCUAUGUUUAUACAACCCUGAACAUACCUGACCUCGUCUGAUCUUGGAAGCAAAGCAGGAUUGAGACUGGUUAGUACUUGGAUGGGAGAAAUAGUUAUUAUCAGUUCAUAUGGAAGUUUCAUGGAAAUAUGGACU
ensembl:rRNA 5S_rRNA 5S ribosomal RNA